AUAUCUGAUGAGCCGUGCUUUGAUGAGAAUUGCAUAUUGUUCUGUGUGCCCCAAAUGGAAUAACUGAGACCAAAUGGUUGGAAACUGUAGAGAAAAAGAUCUCAACUCAAGAAAAACUCAAGUAAGAGGAAGAACCUUCCAGCCAGUAUAAAGAUAGAAGGGGCUACUUGGGAGAUGAUUGAGGCCCAGAAGCAGAAGUUACCCAUGGCUGUUUGGAACAGUAUUGUGGAGAAGCCUGUCUGUGCAACAACCCGUGGCAAAAGGAUUGUCAAAGAAGAAAGACUGUGUAAUGAAUUAUGGCACUCAGGACGACCGUGAAGGACAGUUGGGAAAACAAAGGUCUUUCGUCCGAUAGGAUGUUCUGUGGAACAAGGUCACAGAAAGCAAGCAACCACGUGAACUCAGUUCUGAAGAAGGACAAGGCCAGUGAGGGGAAAUGGGUGACAAGGCCCCUUCACUGCGGCAGAGCCCAGGAGGAGGAUGGAGCUGCCAUGAAAGCAGCUUAAAAGAGGCUAAAAGCCUGAGAAGAGAUUCACAGUCCUUGAAUAAUAGCCAGAAAGGGAGAUUAAUAAGAAAAGAAGGUAUGUGAGUUUCCAAGCACUGGGGGAUUUUCCUGGGUUUUAGUAUGAGAAGAAUUUCAUGCUCUGUAUGUGCCUUCAGCUUCCUUGUUCCAUUGGUGUCACCCACCGCUUAGCUCAGGAGCCCCUAUUUGCCUUCCAUUUUCUUUCACGGGGAAGGAACCAAAAUCAAGGCCAGUCACAAGGUCACCAGGACUCGGUCUCCCAGCACCCCCUGGAGGGUUAGGGCAGGGGCUCUGGGCCAGGUCCUCCCCUCAGGCUGCCGGUGGAGAAUAAAGAGGAGGGCUUCUUUGCUCUAUCCAGCUCCCCAGGGAGAAGGGGAGAAGUUCUGGUGCCUCAGAGAAACCCGGACUUGGCCUGAAGACACACUCCUGCCAAGUGAUGAUUUGUCAGAUUUCCAUAUUUCAAAGGACAGCCAGCAAUGAACAGGCAGACAAGUGUGCAGCAAGUUAAUAAAAUUGCCCCUAGCUUCUUGAUAACCAUCAGCUUUCUGCAUUAGUUUUCUUUCUCCAAUGGAAAAUCUUCCCUAUGAUCUUCCUUCCUAAAGUUGUGUCAUUUGGCCAAUCCUUAUAAACUCAUUUCCCCCAUAGGCAAUGGGAUAAUAUUCAUGAAAAGACACUUCCUUACACUCAUCUUCCUUCAUAUGAGGGAUGGUUCAAAAUGAGCACGAUGGCUUUUGAAACGUAUUUUCUGGAGUUCCC